rnacentral:rRNA from 1 species
UACAGAGGGUGCAAACGUUGUUCGGAAUUACUGGGCGUAAAGCGUGUGUAGGCGGCCUCGUAGGUCGGAUGUGAAAGCUCUCGGCUCAACCGGGAAAGUGCAUUCGAAACCACAAGGCUUGAGUGUCGGAGAGGAAGGCGGAAUUGUCGGUGUAGAGGUGAAAUUCGUAGAUAUCGACAGGAACACCUGCGGCGAAAGCGGCCUCUGGACGAACACUGACGCUGAGACACGAAAAGCGUGG